GUUUAAUUCUCUAAUUCAAUAGCUUCCAUCAAUUAGCAAGAACACAUUCCAUUAAAUACCUUAUUAUUUGAGAUACAGGUUUCACACCAGUUCAGGAAAAGCAAUCAAGUGACGGAUUUAUUAACAAAAAUGGGUGCACAAGGGGUAAUGCAGAGAUUUACAUCUUGUGGUGACUUGUUCGGUUGGACCGCAUUGGAGUUCCCUACUUACGUAAGUGAGUUGAUUGGUCUAGAAAAUUUUUAAAUUCGCUAUUUGUAAGGCUAUUUUGUCAUCACGGUAUUCCUCAGCCAUAAGUGAGGAUUGUUUUCAAUAAAAUUAUUGGUUGACUUUAAAAAAAAAAAAAUUCUCAUUAUUUAUUUCCACUCUGAUUGAGUUUACACCCAUCCUACAGAUAGGCAAAGUUUAAGUGGGAUAUCUCAUGGCUUCCGUUUGGGACACUAAGGUAAACCAUGUUUGAACUCUGUUUCAACAUAUAGUUACUAACACAGGUUAUAAUAGAUUUAUUGAGGUAAGCAUUGAUUCUAAAAUAGUAGUGCAUCUGGGAUCUGCCUUUAUGUGAAUCAUGUACUCAAAGAGUCUUCUGAAGUGGGGCAAAAUUUACAACUACAAUCAAAGAGAACUUAAUUCAGAAAUUUGAUCUCAUCAAUCAAUACUCUAAGCCUCGUUUUAACUGCUAAACAUGCAUUGAAAAUAUUGAUGUUAAUGUAGUUUUAUAUUCAAAAAUAAAGAAUAAAUAUGCAUGUAUGACAUAUCUUGCUUGAAGUCUGCUUACAUUAUGGUUUUAAUAUGUAUGCAUUUAAUUCCUCUCGAAAAGGUUACAUCAAUUUUUAACUUAUUGGUUUAGGGUUCAAAAAAUAUAGUGGUUUAGAUAAAUUCAUCUGAAUCAGAUUAAUCUUUUUGCUUUGAUGUUUAAUGGUGAUUUGCUCAUUGUGUUUUAGAUAGUAGAUCAUUGAUACCUAGAAAGGAGCAGGCCCAGCUUUUGAGAGGGGUUACAACUCUGGUACCCGGGUUUCAUAUGGUUUAUAUAGAUAUUCCUUUAAAUAAUAGAGGUUGUUUCGUGUAAGUUUGGGAAGAAAUAUUCUGAUUUGAAUGCAUCAAUGGGAUUCCAUGGUCAAUAUGCUUCGCCAAUUCUUAUGUAAUUUUGACUUUUCUUUUAAUCUUUACAUUCUUUGACAGAU
rnacentral:lncRNA from 1 species